GCCUGAUGCAGCGACGCCGCGUGAGGGAUGACGGCCUUCGGGUUGUAAACCUCUUUCACCAGGGACGAAGCGCAAGUGACGGUACCUGGAGAAGAAGCACCGGCCAACUACGUGCCAGCAGCCGCGGUAAUACGUAGGGUGCGAGCGUUGUCCGGAAUUACUGGGCGUAAAGAGCUCGUAGGUGGUUUGUCGCGUUGUUCGUGAAAACUCACAGCUCAACUGUGGGCGUGCGGGCGAUACGGGCAGACUGGAGUACUGCAGGGGAGACUGGAAUUCCUGGUGUAGCGGUGGAAUGCGCAGAUAUCAGGAGGAACACCGGUGGCGAAGGCGGGUCUCUGGGCAGUAACUGACGCUGAGGAGCGAAAGCGUGGGGAGCGAACAGGAUUAGAUACCCUGGUAGUCCACGCCGUAAACGGUGGGUACUAGGUGUGGGUUUCCUUCCUUGGGAUCCGUGCCGUAGCUAACGCAUUAAGUACCCCGCCUGGGGAGUACGGCCGCAAGGCUAAAACUCAAAGAAAUUGACGGGGGCCCGCACAAGCGGCGGAGCAUGUGGAUUAAUUCGAUGCAACGCGAAGAACCUUACCUGGGUUUGACAUGCACAGGACGUGCCUAGAGAUAGGUAUUCCCUUGUGGCCUGUG
rnacentral:rRNA from 1 species